AUUGAACGCUGGCGGCAUGCCUUACACAUGCAAGUCGAACGGCAGCACGGGGGCAACCCUGGUGGCGAGUGGCGAACGGGUGAGUAAUACAUCGGAACGUGCCCAGUAGUGGGGGAUAGCUCGGCGAAAGCCGGAUUAAUACCGCAUACGACCUACGGGUGAAAGCGGGGGAUCGCAAGACCUCGCGCUAUUGGAGCGGCCGAUGUCAGAUUAGGUUGUUGGUGGGGUAAAGGCCACCAAGCCGACGAUCUGUAGCUGGUCUGAGAGGACGACCAGCCACACUGGGACUGAGACACGGCCCAGACUCCUACGGGAGGCAGCAGUGGGGAAUUUUGGACAAUGGGCGCAAGCCUGAUCCAGCCAUGCCGCGUGC
rnacentral:rRNA from 1 species